UCGAGGAUCUUCGGCAAUGGGCGCAAGCCUGACCGAGCGACGCCGCGUGCGGGAUGAAGGCCUUCGGGUUGUAAACCGCUUUAGACCGGGAGGAAAGCCGCAAGGCCUGACCGACCGGAGGAAUAAGCACGGGCUAAGUUCGUGCCAGCAGCCGCGGUAAGACGAACCGUGCAAACGUUGUUCGGAAUCACUGGGCUUAAAGGGCGCGUAGGCGGCCACGCCAGUCUGGGGUGAAAUCUUUCGGCUCAACCGGAAAAUUGCCUGGGAUACUGCGUGGCUCGAGGGAGGUAGGGGCGGUCGGAACUUCCAGUGGAGCGGUGAAAUGCGUUGAUAUUGGAAGGAACGCCGGUGGCGAAAGCGGACCGCUGGAUCUCAUCUGACGCUGAGGCGCGAAAGCUAGGGUAGCGAACGGGAUUAGAUACCCCCGUAGUCC
rnacentral:rRNA from 1 species